AGUGUGGCAGUAGAUGAUCCUCACUGUAAGCGUGUGACAGUUGAAGGUCUGUGUGAGUCUCAGCGUUACACACUCCGUCUAGCUGCCUGUACCAGAGCUGGCUGUGGAACUGAGAGUGUGUACACUUUUAAAACACGGCCAAAAUAUUACAUGCAGGUUGUGAAGGUCGUGACCCCUCUCUUACUCCUGAUUGGCUGCUGCUGCUUCCUCUGGUCCUACAGAAACACUGUGAAAGGAAUUGUUGUAGAUGUGCUUAUUUUCCCCAGACAUCACAACAUGAAGAUGAUGGAGCUGGAUGAUGAUGUGUAUAAGGUGAGUAAGGAGAUCGGAGCUCUGGAGGUGGAGGAGUGUGAAAGCUGUGAUGUUGAGAUCAUGGAACAGGAAAUUCACAUGCGCUCGUUUUUCAGUCUUCACUCAAAUCCUGAGGAGUUCAUUACAGUGACCAACCUGACGUACCUGCUGCUCUCCAACACACCUGAACACACAGAGCAUUGUGGGUCCAGCAGCAGUGGUUACAUGAUCCCCACAUCACCACCCUGAGACCAGAAAUAGACCACAUGAACAAACAUCAAUCAGAGAAAAAACAAAGAUCUGUAACACGUCUGAUCCAUGAUCCUGAUACUCACAAAAUAUAACCUUCUCCAGCACACAGAGUCUCUCCACAUCCAGCUGUUACUCAUUCACCUGGUCCUGCACCUAGACUUCAGUUCAACACCAUCAUCUCCCUCUGUCCCUAAAUCCCUCAGUCCACCAGGAUCAACAGCUCCAUCUGCAGCAUAUGUUUCCUGUAUAUUUGUAUAAAUAAAUCUAAUAUAAAUAUUUAAUUAUACAAAUAUACAAUAAACAUAUUAUUAGAGUGCAAAUGUGCAACACGCAUUACAAUACUAGUGUAUAUAUUGUGUAUAAGGUAAAGAUAAACACAGAAGGGAGUCUCAUCUGAAAGUGACCAUAACACUGCUAAAACACCACAUGAGGAAGAAUAUUGUAGUUUGUGAGACAUUGAAAGAACAUGCAGCAGAAGCCAGUCAGAGGCAUCAUGAACAGUGUAAAUGUACAGUAUAGACUCAUGUUACUGUAGGGAGUCAUGUUACUGUAUAGAGUCAUGUUACUGUAUAGAGUCAUGUUACUGUAUGUAGUCAUGUUACUGUAUGGAGUCAUGUUACUGUAUAGACUCAUGUUACUGUAUGGAUUCAUGUUACUGUACAGAGUCAUGUUACUGUAUGGAUUCAUGUUACUGUAUAGAGUCAUGUUACUGUAUGGAGACAUGUUACUGUAUGGAGUCAUGUUACUGUAUGGAUUCAUGUUACUGUACAGAGUCAUGUUACUGUAUGGAUUCAUGUUACUGUAUAGAGUCAUGUUACUGUAUGGAUUCAUGUUACUGUAUAGAGUCAUGUUACUGUAUGGAUUCAUGUUACUGUACAGAGUCAUGUUACUGUAUAGAGUCAUGUUACUGUAUAGAGUCAUG